CGAGUCCACCAGGCGGGUGGCUGCCCUGCGCAUCCAGCUUCUCACACGCGAGACACAGAAGAGAGGAGGGAGUUAGAGAAGGUGGUAGAACAAGGCCAGGGGAGAAGGAGCAGCAGGAAGGGGCGCAGUCUGGGGAGCUGCUGUUUCAUACAUCCUGAGGAGGGACAAGGAGUGGCAGAUGCCCACAUCCUGGAGAUGGUGUUGGAGGAGCCGGAGAAGCAACUUCCUUCUGAAACGUCCAGACUCAGGUCUGACCUUCGGAGCCAGGGAACAACAUCACACAGCUGCUCAGGCUGGAGACCCAGGAGUGCAGCUGGCCCAAGUCCCAGCCCGAGUCCAAAGGGAGGAGAAGGCCGACGUCCCAGCUCGAAGACAGUCGGGCACAGAGCGAAUUCUCCCUCCUCAGCCCUUCGGUUCCAUUCAGGCCUCAGUGGGUCCGAAGAUGCCC